rnacentral:rRNA from 1 species
UACGGGGGGGGCAAGCGUUGUUCGGAAUUACUGGGCGUAAAGGGCUCGUAGGCGGCCAACUAAGUCAGACGUGAAAUCCCUCGGCUUAACCGGGGAACUGCGUCUGAUACUGGUUGGCUUGAAUCCGGGAGAGGGAUGUGGAAUUCCAGGUGUAGCGGUGAAAUGCGUAGAUAUCUGGAGGAACACCGGUGGCGAAGGCGGCACUCUGGGCCGGUACUGACGCUGAGGAGCGAAAGCGUGGGGAGCGAACAGG